UUCAAAACUUUCUGCUUUCAGGGAGAUUCGUAACUUGAAUCUAUUUCUAGACCGAAAAGGUAUUAAAGGGCCUGGGGUCGACUUGAAGCAUCCGAAUCCCUGAACAAUGAUGAAAGGCACCUAUCCUUAGGCAAAAAACUUAAAGUGUAUCAAUUUCUAUGCUGCAAGAUCGCCACAGUAUCCUCUUCUACCCCCUUCACCUAAUGGCGAUGUUGCUUCUGAGUUGGUUGUCGUUGAUUGUUGUGUUUCCAUGAAAGCAGGUUUGAGGCGAUCAACUGAUACUUUGGUAUCGUGACCAUUGAUAAGGCGUCUGAAGCGAUCCACGUACCGUGAGUCGCGGUUGAAAGUUUGAAUUGGUCUUAUUUCGCUCAUCAUCUCUGAUCCUUUGAAAAAUCAGAGUGUGGUUGAAGGAAGGCGAAGAGUGCUACCGUAAGCAAGCUGUGCUGCUGUUGUUUGGAUGUCGGGCUUUUAUGAUGAGCGUAGGCCAAGGAGACUAAUUAGCAAUUUCGAUGUGACUGCAAAAUGAAUGGUCGCACAGUGGAAGUAGAAAAAUCGCAUAAGAUUGGAGUACUUGAUUGCGGUAAGUUGAUAGAUUUGAUAUAAGGGAAGGUGUGUCGUCAUUAAGUACCGUUUUUA